rnacentral:rRNA from 1 species
UACGUAGGGGGGCGAGCGUUAUCCGGAAUUACUGGGCGUAAAGCGCACGCAGGCGGUUCGCCAAGUUUGGAGUGACAGUUGUCGGCUCAACCGACAAAGGACUUCAAAAACUGGUGAACUUGAGGACGAGAGAGGAACAUGGAACUCCGAGGUGUAGUAGUGAAAUGCGUAGAUAUCUGGAAGAACACCAAUGGCGAAGGCAAUGUUCUGGCUCGUUUCUGACGCUCAGGUGCGAAAGCCAGGGGAGCGAACGG